rnacentral:rRNA from 1 species
CUACGGGCUGCUCCAGUGGGGAAUAUUGGGCAAUGGGCGAAAGCCUGACCCAGCAACGCCGCGUGAAGGAAGAAGGUUUUCGGAUCGUAAAGCUCUGUCAAGUGGGAAAAAAAUCUUUUGAUCAAUAGUCAAAAGACUUGAUGGUACCACUGGAGGAAGCACCGGCUAACUCCGUGCCAGCAGCCGCGGUAAUACAGAGGUGGCGAGCGUUGUUCGGAUUUACUGGGCGUAAAGGGUGCGUAGGCGGGCUGUUAAGCUGGAUGUGAAAUCCCGGGGCUCAACCCCGGAACUGCAUCCGGAACUGGCAGACUAGAGACCAGGAGGGGAGAGGAGAAUUCAUGGUGUAGCGGUGAAAUGCGUUGAUAUCAUGAAGAAUACCGGUGGCGAAGGCGCCUCUCUGGAAUGGUUCUGACGCUGAUGCACGAAAGCGUGGGGAGCAAACAGGAUUAGAUACCCCAGUAGUC